rnacentral:rRNA from 1 species
AGCGGCGGACGGGUGAGUAACACGUGGGUAACCUGCCUCAUACAGGGGGAUAACAGUUAGAAAUGACUGCUAAUACCGCAUAAGACCACAGCACCGCAUGGUGCAGGGGUAAAAACUCCGGUGGUAUGAGAUGGACCCGCGUCUGAUUAGGUAGUUGGUGGGGUAACGGCCUACCAAGCCGACGAUCAGUAGCCGACCUGAGAGGGUGACCGGCCACAUUGGGACUGAGACACGGCCCAA